GCCGGGGUGUCGGAACCGGUAGACGAGGCGGACUCAAAAUCCGUUGGGCGCGAGCCCGUGCGGGUUCGAAUCCCGCCCCCGGCACCG
rnacentral:tRNA from 2 species